rnacentral:lncRNA from 1 species
GCAAGGAAGGCCUUUUCCAGACUGACAGCAGACUUUCCACUUCCUUUGGUCCAAUUGCACCAUAUGCCCAUGUCUACGCCAGUCACUGCCAGAAUUGGUGACAUGACCCCGAAGAAUCGUGAGGGGGCUGGAAAGUGAGUCUCCUGUACAUUCGAGAAGUCAAGGAGUAUUGGAAUAUUGGAGGAACAUAUUAUUGCCACUGUCACAGAUGAGGCCAUGAGGGCACCAGGAGGCUAAGGAACUUGCUGACUCAGAUUGUGAGAGUUGGUUCUGUGAUCCAAACCCAGGCUUCUGGCGCCAGUGCCCCUGGGCUUCAUGACUAGGCUCCACCUCCUCUGUCGUAGGCUCUUCCUCAUGGUCACAAGACGGCUACUGCAGCUGCAACCAUCCCAUCCGUAUUUCAAAAGGAAGGGGAUGGCAACAAGGGGCUUUCCUUUCAUCAGGGAAGAAACGUUUCCACUGAAACUUCACAAUACGUGUUUCCUUGCUGCUCACCGCCUAUAACGAUGUUGCAGGCUCAUCAAUAGACCAGUCCCCCUGUGCUGUGAUAAAGCAUCUUU